rnacentral:misc_RNA from 1 species
AGUGAAUAGUUUUGGGGAAUAGGAAUAGAUAGAGGUUUCUUUUUUUUUUUUUUAGAUGAGGGAGGAAAAUUAUAAAUACUUAAUCGGAGGGAAUUCAUGAAUUAUCUAUUUAUGUAAAAUUGUGCAAUGGCCUAAAAUAAAAAUGACUUAUUUUGAUGGACUACUUUAAAUUUCGUAUGUUUAAUGUUCGUGUAGGAUAUCACGGAAGGUGUAUGAAAUAUAUACCACCGGAUCGACAACUUUUUAGUUUUGAUUUAAAAUUACCUUAUUAGCAUUUAUUCUGGCCUUUUGAGCUAAAUUUAGGGAAGAUGAAGAAAUAUGCUUUGGUAGAGUGGACAAAUGAGGCUGAUGCAGGCUCAUACAGCGUCGUAAACAGCGAGUGGAUCUUGGGUUAUACACCGGAAAUGUAUCUGAUUGAGUGGCGAGAGGGACAGGGGAGAAAAAAACCUCCGUCCGGUGGAUGGCCUAUGGGCGAAGCAAAGAUCCUGCAGACCAGCGACAAAGAAUCUGAGUUGAAGAAAGCACUUCACGACAUGACAUCUCAGAAGAGUCAAAACGACCUGGUCGUCUCUGGCAAGCGCAAAAGGAUCCCCAAGAAACGUUUGUACGAGAGCGACGAUGAAACCGACACUGAUGUUGCGCGGUCCAGUGGCGAUGAGAAGAAGCGAUCAAGGAAAACCAAGAAGGCUGAAGAAUCAGACAUGUCACCAUCUUCUUCCCAGAGGAAAGCUGGACAGAAGAGGGUUUCUGAUGAGGACCAGACCCAGCCCAAUAAAGACCAAGAACCAAACCUAGACCAAGAACCAGGCCAAGAAGACCAGGACCCAGAAGCAUUCCCUGAUACUUCAUCUGACAGGGAAAUAGAAUAUUCCACAGAUGGGAUGGGGCCUGAUGUUCAGGGUGAUGAGAUGGAGGAUGGUGAGGAGGAGGAGGAAGAGGAAUUAGGGAGCGAAGGAGGAGAGUACCCACCAGAGUACGAGCUCUCGGAGCUCGAGAAGCUGAGAUUAGAAGUUAGAGGACUGAGAGAUGAAAUCAUGCUACUCAGACAUGAAGUUUGCAAAGAACUUCCAAAGGUGCAUGCGAUAGCCCUCAAGGCUCUGGGCACCCACAACAACGUCAGAUGUUCUCCCGAGGACAAGAGCAGCAAAGUGGUUAAGAGGAAGGCAUUGUCUCAACCUGGUAAUAAGUUUGCUGUCAGCAAAGGGAGGAGACGCCCGGGUCAGUUCUCCAAGGCGGGCGUGCUGAAGAAAGAAGCUGAAAUUCUCAGGCAGAAAGCUAAUUUGGAGAAGAUCUCAGGAAAGCCCAAAGUCAUCCUUUCGCCAACGAAACUAAUAAAAAAUGAGAUGAUAUCCUCGCCAUCUCCAUCUAAGAAACAAGCAACUCAAAAUUCCGACCAGGUUGAGAUUCAUCCGGGAAGUGGUGUGUUCAUCAACCGCGAGGUUUGGGACGGCCUUAAUGCUCUGGACCAACCCACCGCCUUUACCCGCCGUCUCCUCCCAUUCGUCUUCUCCAUGGAAACGCUCCUCAAUAGUAACCUGCGAGGUGGAAAGAGCACCAGGGACUCUACCGCAGAGCCAAGACAAGCCCUUGAUCCAAAGAAAGUCGAUGCCAUCUAUAAAGCGGUUACCACCAGAUUCCCCAACAUCUCACACUGCGACAUUGGACAGGCCAUCAACGGACGUCUCUCCAGCAUCAGAUACCGCGAGCAGAAACGGGAGCACCGCAGGAGGCUCAAACAGGGUCACUGAAGACACAACUUAGUUAUCAAUGUGAAUGUACCCACUUGUUCAGCAUACGACGACAGUAUGCAGUAUACUGCAAGUUUCCUCAAGUUAAGCACUGCGAUAUCGGGCAAGCCAUCAAUGGUCGGCUGUCCAACUUGAGGUAUAGAGCG